AGGCAAAUUAUGUUUUGAUUAGUUUUUUUUUUUUUUUUUGAACCAAGUUUUGAUUAGUUUUCUUAACUCGUUCAAUUAUCUGGUUUCUUCUUCGUAAAUAUGAAAUGAAUAUUAGUCGAUGGAUUUACGGCCAGUCGGCCGCCUUGAAAAAUCAGUAAGCAGUUUGGUAGUGGCGGACCCAGCCAAAAAAUUAAGUGGGUACAAAAUGUAGCCAGAUAGAAUCGAACCAGCCACCU